rnacentral:rRNA from 1 species
GACGAACGCUGGCGGCGUGCUUAACACAUGCAAGUCGAACGGAAAGGCCCUGCUUUUGUUGGUUUCUCGAGUGGCGCACGGGUGAGUAACACGUGUGUAACCUGCCCUUGACUUUCUGAUAACUUCACGAAACUGCGGCUAAUACCGCAUAUAAUCUCCUGCUCCAUGUUGUUCGUUGGAUAGUUUCGGCGGUUGGGGAUGGACUCGCGGCUUAUCAGCUUGUUGGUGGGGUAGUGGCUUACCAAGGCUUGCACGGGUAGCCGGCCUGAGAGGGUGACCGGCCACAGUGGGACUGAGAUACGGCCCAGACUCCGACGGGAGGCAGAAGUGGGGAAUAUUGCACAAUGGGCGGAAGCCUGAUGCAGAAACGCCGCGUGCGGGAUGACGGCCUUCGGGUUAUAAACCGCUUUCGCCUGUGACGAAGCGUGAGUGACGGUAAUGGGUAAAGAAGCACAGGCUAAAUACGUG